GACGAACGCUGGCGGCGUGCCUAACACAUGCAAGUCGACCUUAGUGGCGAACGGGUGAGUAACACGUGGGUAACCUACCCAUCAGAAGGGGAUAACACUUGGAAACAGGUGCUAAUACCGUAUACUGAUGGAUGGACCCGCGGGGGAUUAGCUAGUUGGGGAGGUAACGGCUCACCAAGGCCACGAUGCGUAGCGGGCCUGAGAGGGUGAUCGGCCACAUUGGGACUGAGACACGGCCCAGACUCCUACGGGAGGCAGCAGUGGGGAAUAUUCGGCAAUGGGCGAAAGUCUGACCGAGCAACGCCGCGUGAGUGAAGAAGGUUUUCGGAUCGUAAAACUCUGUUGGUAGGGAAGCGGUAUCUACCGAGAAAGCCACGGCUAACUACGUGCCAGCAGCCGCGGUAAUAC
rnacentral:rRNA from 1 species